rnacentral:rRNA from 1 species
UACGUAGGAGACGAGCGUUGUCCGGAGUUACUGGGCGUAAAGGGUGCGCAGGCGGCCCUGCGCGUCGCGAGUGAAAUCUCCCCGGCUCAACUGGGAGGGUGGUCGCGAGACGGCAGGGCUUGAGGCUCGGUGAGGGGCGUGGAAUUCCGGGUGGAGCGGUGAAAUGCGUAGAGAUCCGGAGGAACACCAACGGCGUAGGCAGCGCCCUAGACGAGACCUGACGCUCAGGCACGAAAGCGCGGGGAGCGAACAGG